rnacentral:lncRNA from 1 species
UCUGAUUUGUAUACCCUUAUGUGCUAUCUGUUUUUUUUUACGCCUAGCAUUUUUACCUUUGAAACCCCAUAUAUGUCUUAUCCUUCUUCCCCCUUUUUUAGUAUUAGGAAUCCAAAUACCCGGGGACUAAUAGGUUGGGACGGGUAAUUUCAUGCAGUAAGUAAACGAGACAAAAUGCGUUUAAAUACCUUAACGGGAAGGGGUAGAAUAUAGAGAUGAUGACGAUGCGAUAAUAUCAUAAAGCGACCUCUCUUUGGGAAUAUGUGUGGGAUAUUGUAUCGAAUAAUUCAUAUAAUAGUUAAACCUAGGACCCCCCCCCCUACCUUUACUUUUUGUUUAAAUACUUUCUCUAAAAUUUCCCUUUU